rnacentral:lncRNA from 1 species
UUAGCUAUACUCAUAAUAGCACCAAGCAAAGCAUUCAAGAAUUCCACAUCAUUGCCACUAUUAGCAUUCAAGUUCUCCCCAGACCCAAUAUGCAAAAUCACUAAAUCAAACUGGUUGGAUUCCGUUACCUUCCCUUCUUGGAAUGCAAGUAAGGACAGCAACUUAGAAGCCAAAUUAUCAAUCGAUGAAACAGGGGGAGUAUUACUAUUUCCAAACAAUCCAUUCAAGUUCAAUACAUUGAAGCCAAGUUUUUCUCCGAAAGACUUCAAACCAGAAUUGUUACUCAAUAUAGCAGCUUUCAUUCCCAUAAACCU